rnacentral:lncRNA from 1 species
UUAUGUUCUACCUCGCUAUGCUCGUCCGAACAUAAAUUAUUUCUCAUUCUAUAUAAAGAAACAACAAAGACUAAUAUGGCAGGAGAUACACACCAAACAGUUUUAAUUAUAAUAACAUUUUUUUCAAAAUACAUGUAUACCGUGCAAUCGAAUAUUAAAGUCCAUACAUCAUGCGUCAUUAUAUUAUCUAUAUAAUCAUCUCAACUGUGCUCAUACUAAUAUCUACAAAAACAAAAUACAAAGAAUUAGGAUUUAUACAAAGCAUAAUAUUACAAUCUAAAUGUAAUAAAGUUGUCGAACAAGUUUGGUGUGUGAAAUCUCGAAGAAAUGAAAAGGGCGCGUAAAACAGUAUAUAAAGUCCGAAAACCGAAUUACUCAGUAUUCCGCGACAGAAAUAGGACGAAAUCUCAAAACGAAAAGAAAUAUAAUUAUGUUCUACCUUGCUUUGCUAGUCCGAACAUAAAUUAUUUCUUAUUCUAUAUAAAGAAACAACAAAGACUAAUAUGGCAGGA